AUACGUAGGGGGCGAGCGUUGUCCGGAAUGAUUGGGCGUAAAGGGCGCGUAGGCGGCCCGGUAAGUCUGGAGUGAAAGUCCUGUUUUUAAGAUGGGAAUUGCUUUGGAUACUGAUGGGCUUGAGUGCAGGAGAGGUUAUCGGAAUUCCCGGUGUAGCGGUAAAAUGCGUAGAGAUCGGGAGGAACACCAGUGGCGAAGGCGGGUAACUGGACUGCAACUGACGCUGAGGCGCGAAAGUGUGGGGAGCAAACAGGAUUAGAUACCCUGGUAGUCCACACUGUAAACGAUGAAUGCUAGGUGUAAGAGGUAUCGACCCCUUUUGUGCCGGAGUUAACACAAUAAGCAUUCCGCCUGGGGAGUACGGCCGCAAGGUUGAAACUCAAAUGAAUUGACGGGG
rnacentral:rRNA from 1 species